UGGUUCUGGCGGAAGCACGAGGAUUUUGCCUGCAUGUUGCCUGCCCCAUAAAGCUGAGAAAAGGAACGAAUCAACACAUCAGACCCUCAUGCCAUUUCCAUCUUCACCACAGCCCCUGCCCUUGUGAGUAAAGCCACUCAAGUAUCAAAGGAUACGCUUUCAAAUAACAUAUCUCAGUCAUGGGCUCCAGUGAUGGGCUCGGAAGUCAGGGGCUGGUUAUGCCGACAUGCCUUCUCUUGGCCUCCGCCCUGCCCUUCUGGGGAAGGGAAAUUGGAAGCUCUCCUGUGAUGAAUGAAAACAGAAGCAGCUUGUUAACAACAGCAGUUCUUAAUUACCUGUGCUUUGUUUUAUGACUUGGCAGGCUUCCCUGACCUGAAAGAGAAGGAAAAAAGAUGUGCUUGCAAAAGACAAAAAAUAAAUAAAUA